AUGGCGGCGUUACCACCGCCACUCCUCACGAUCCCUGUCGACAAGCCCGCAGCCCCGGCCACGCAGCACAAGACCGACGACGGCUACCACACGCCCACCUCGCCGCCGUCUCAAGCCAAGAUGAUCUGCCCGCCGGCGCCGAGGAAGAUGAAGCCACGCAAGAGGAGGAGGAGGAGGCAGCUGCUUGAGAUGCCGCCGGAGGCCAUCUCCUUCUCCGAGGAGGAGCUGGACGCGGUGUUCAGGGAGAGGACCACACCAGCGGCAGCAGUAGAUCCUGCUCCUCCUCCUCCUCCUUCUUUCUCUUAUUCUGGCAGUGCUGAAAGCGAAACGUCGACCACCAACGGCGGCAGCUGCAGCAAGAAGAGGAAGCGAUAG
rnacentral:rRNA from 1 species